UACAGAGGGUGCGAGCGUUAAUCGGAAUUACUGGGCGUAAAGCGUGCGUAGACGGUUAUUUAAGUCGGGUGUGAAAGCCCCGGGCUCAACCUGGGAAUUGCAUUCGAGACUGAAUAGCUAGGGUACGGUAGAGGGAAGCGGAAUUUCUGGUGUAGCGGUGAAAUGCGUAGAUAUCGGAAGGAACAUCAGUGGCGAAAGCGGCUUCCUGGACCAGUACCGACGUUCAGGCACGAAAGCGUGGGGAGCAAACAGG
rnacentral:rRNA from 1 species